rnacentral:rRNA from 1 species
UACGUAGGGUCCGAGCGUUGUCCGGAAUUAUUGGGCGUAAAGCGUCCGUAGGUGGCUGUUCAAGUCUGUCGUCAAAGACUGGGGCUUAACCCUGGAAAGGCGGUGGAAACUGAAGCGCUAGAGUGUGGUAGGGGUAGAGGGAAUUCCCGGUGUAGCGGUGAAAUGCGUAGAGAUCGGGAAGAACACCAAUUGCGAAGGCAGCUCGCUACACGAAGAUUGACUCUGAGGCACGAAAGCGUGGGGAUCAAACAGG